rnacentral:rRNA from 1 species
GACGAACGCUGGCGGCGUGCUUAACACAUGCAAGUCGAACGGAAAGGCCCUGCUUGCAGGGUACUCGAGUGGCGAACGGGUGAGUAACACGUGUGUGAUCUGCCCUGCACUUCUGGAUAAGCCUGGGGAACUGGGUCUAAUACCAGAUAGGGGCCAUUUUUAGUGUUAUUGUUGGAAAGUUUGUUCGGUGUAGGAUGAGCGCGCGGCCUAUCAGCUUGUUUGUGGGGUAAUGGCCUACCAAGGCGGCGACGGGUAGCCGGCCUGAGAGGGUGGACGGCCCCAGUGGGACUGAGAUAAGGCCCCGACGCCUAAGGGAGGCAGCAGGGGGGAAUAUUGCACAAUGGGCGCAAGCCUGAUGCCGCCAAGCCGCGUGGGGGAUGACGGCCUUCGGGUUGUAAACUCCUUUCGCUAGGGAAGAAGCUUUUUGUGACGGUACCUAGAUAAGAAGCACCGGCUAACUACGUG